AUUGAGCGCUGGCGGCAUGCCUUACACAUGCAAGUCGAACGGCAGCACGGGAGCAAUCCUGGUGGCGAGUGGCGAACGGGUGAGUAAUAUAUCGGAACGUGCCCAGUCGUGGGGGAUAACGUAGCGAAAGCUACGCUAAUACCGCAUACGAUCUAUGGAUGAAAGCGGGGGAUCGCAAGACCUCGCGCGAUUGGAGCGGCCGAUAUCAGAUUAGGUAGUUGGUGGGGUAAAAGCCUACCAAGCCUUCGAUCUGUAGCUGGUCUGAGAGGACGACCAGCCACACUGGAACUGAGACACGGUCCAGACUCCUACGGGAGGCAGCAGUGGGGAAUUUUGGACAAUGGGCGCAAGCCUGAUCCAGCAAUGCCGCGUGCAGGAUGAAGGCC
rnacentral:rRNA from 1 species